rnacentral:rRNA from 1 species
UACGUAGGGGGCAAGCGUUGUCCGGAUUUAUUGGGCGUAAAAGGCUUGUAGGUGGCCACGCCAAGUCGGAUGUGAAAUCUCCCGGCUCAACUGGGAGGGGUCAUUCGAUACUGGCGGGCUCGAGGCCGGUAGGGGGAAGUGGAAUUCCCGGUGUAGUGGUGGAAUGCGUAGAUAUCGGGAGGAACACCGGCGGCGAAAGCGGCCUUCUGGACGAGGACUGACGCUGAGAUGCGAAAGCGUGGGGAGCAAACAGG